rnacentral:rRNA from 1 species
CACACCGCCCGUCANAUCAUGGGAGUUGGUUUUACCCGAAGCCGCUGACUUAACCGCAAGGGGAGAAGCGUCUAAGGUGAGGCUGAUGACUGGGAUG